GACGGAGGAUGCAAGUGUUAUCCGGAAUCACUGGGCGUAAAGCGUCUGUAGGUGGUUUAAUAAGUCAACUGUUAAAUCUUGAGGCUCAACCUCAAAAUCGCAGUCGAAACUAUUAGGCUAGAGUAUAGUAGGGGUAAAGGGAAUUUCCAGUGGAGCGGUGAAAUGCGUAGAGAUUGGAAAGAACACCGAUGGCGAAGGCACUUUACUGGGCUAUUACUAACGCUCAGAGACGAAAGCUAGGGUAGCAAAUGGG
rnacentral:rRNA from 1 species